CAGUGGCGGAUCCAGGAUUUUUGCCAAGGGGGUUCGAAAUUGUAGAAUAAAAAAUUUAAAUAUCACUUUAUAAAAAUAGUGGACCAAAAAUUUACAAUUUACAAAUUUUGGGUGAAUUGUGGAAAUAUUUAAAGAGAAAAAAUGUGAAAAUGUUAAAAAUAGUGGACCAAAAAUUUACAAUUUAAAAAUUUUGGGUGAAUUGUGGAAUAUUUAAAGAGAAAAAAUGUGAAAAUGUUAAGAUUUGAAAAAGAAGUCAGUUUUUUAGAGAGUGGGAAUCGAACCUAUGACCUAUUAGUGGAUUUAGAAUACCUUUACCACCUCAACCAACAGCAUUUUUUGUCAAAUUAUCUAUAAUAGUAAUAUUUUUCCACAGCCAAGGGUGUGCAACUGCACACCCUAGACCAUAGGUGGAUCCGCCCCUG
rnacentral:lncRNA from 1 species